rnacentral:rRNA from 1 species
UGCCAGCCGCCGCGGUAAGACGGGGGAUGCGAGCGUUACCCGGAAUUAUUGGGCGUAAAGCGCCUGCAGGCGGACUGUUAAGUCUUCUGUCAAACCUUGGGGCUCAACCCCUCGAAGGCGGUAGAAACUGUCAGUCUAGAGUAUGGCAGGGGUAGAGGGAACUUCUAGUGUAGCGGUGAAAUGCGCAGAGAUUAGAAAGAACACCGGUGGCGAAAGCGCUCUACUAGACCAUUACUGACGCUCAGAGGCGAAAGCUGGGGGAGCGAGAGGGAUUAGAUA